CCCGGCCCCGCACCGCCUGCGUCGCCGCGCCGAGCUCCAGGCGCCCCGCCUCCGGUCGGAUUCCAUGGCCAACAACAACCUCCCCCGCCGGAUCAUCAAGGAGACGCAGCGGCUGCUCAGCGAGCCAGCGCCGGGGAUCAGCGCCUCGCCGUCGGAGGAGAACAUGCGCUACUUCAAUGUCAUGGUCCUUGGCCCCGCUCAGUCGCCCUACGAAGGCAAGAUAGAUAC